UACAGAGGGUGCGAGCGUUAAUCGGAAUUACUGGGCGUAAAGCGUGCGUAGACGGUUAUUUAAGUCGGGUGUGAAAGCCCCAGGCUCAACCUGGGAAUUGCAUUCGAGACUGAAUAGCUAGGGUACGGUAGAGGGAAGUGGAAUUUCCGGUGUAGCGGUGAAAUGCGUAGAUAUCGGAAGGAACAUCAGUGGCGAAAGCGACUUCCUGGACCAGUACCGACGUUCAGGCACGAAAGCGUGGGGAGCAAACAGG
rnacentral:rRNA from 1 species